rnacentral:tRNA from 3 species
UGGAGAGUAGCUUAACGGUAAAGCGGUGUCUUGAUAAGGCAAGGAGUGUAGGUUCAAAUCCUACCUUUCCAACCA